rnacentral:rRNA from 1 species
CCUAGGGGUGUAAUGACCUCGUAGCCAUCGACGCGUACGGGUUGUGGGAGCAAUAGCCCGGAGACGGAUUCUGAGACACGAAUCCGGACCCUACGGGGUGCAGCAGGCGCGAAAACUUCACACUGCAGGAAACUGUGAUGAGGGAACUCCAAGUGACUGCACAAUGUGUAGCCUUUUCUUGAAUCUUAAUAGUUCUUGGAAUAAGGGCUGGGAAAGACCGGUGCCAGCCGCCGCGGUAAUACCGGCAGCUCAAGUGGUCGUCGCUUUUAUUGGGCCUAAAACGUCCGUAGCCUGUUUGGUAAAUCUGUGGGUAAAUCAACGAGCUUAACUCGUUGAAUUCUGCAGAGACUGCCAGACUAGGGACCGGGAGAGGUAUGAGGUACUCUGGGGGUAGGGGUAAAAUCCUGUCAUCCUCAGAGGACCACCUGUUGCGAAGGCGUCAUACUGGAACGGAUCCGACGGUCAGGGACGAAGCCUAGGGGCACGAACCGGAUUAGAUACCCGGGUAGUCCGUAGGUGUAAACGCUGUGGAUUUGGUGUGUGGGGUCCGCAAUGGGCCCCAUGUGCCGGAGUGAAGAUGUUAAAUCCACUGCCUGGGGAGUACGGUCGCAAGGCUGA